rnacentral:lncRNA from 1 species
AAUAUGGUGAUUAUAAAGAGAACAAUGCAUGCAAAUUCCUCCUCUGAGGAUCUCCUACCUGAUUCCCAGACACACCCAAGGGAGUUAGAACAUCUAUUUGGACUCCAGGUGGGCUGUCCACCCCUUUACCAUUUUCCUGGUUGUUAACAAGUUCCUGAUCAGCAUUGGGUGCUGUCCCAGGUGCUGAGAGGAGUCUCGCACAAUGCCCUUUGCUUUCCCCAUCAGAGGGUUUACGGCACCCAAUUCUCAUUCACAUUCUCUCUCUCUCCUUUCUCGUUCUUCUCUAUCUCUCCUCUCUCUCUCUCCCUCUCUCUCUCUCUCCUUCUUUUUCUCUUCCUCUCUCCCUGUCUUCUCUACCUCUCUCUCCCUCUCUCUUCCUCUCUCUCUUCCUCUCUCUGUCCUUUCUCUCUCUCUCCCCUCUCUCACAUCUCUCUCUUUCCCUUUCUCUUUCCUCUCUUUCUCUCUUCCUCUCUCUCUCCCUCUCCCUCCUUCUGUCUUCCUCUCUCCCUCUCUCUUCCUCUCUCUUCUUGUCUCUUUCUCUCCUCUCUCUCUCUCUCCCUCUCUCUCUCCUUCUUUUUCUCUUCCUCUCUCCCUGUCUUCUCUCCCUCUCUCUCCCUCUCUCUUCCUCUCUUUCUCUCUCUUCCUCUCUGUCCUCUCUUUUCUCCCUGUCUCUCUCUCCCUCUCUCUCUCACAUCUCUCUCUUUCCCUUCCUUUCUCUUUCCUCUCUUUCUGUCUUCCUCUCUCCUCUCCCUCCUUCUCUCUGUCUUCCUCUCUCCCUCUCUCUUCCUCUCUCUCCUUUUUUCUUCCUCUCUCUUCUCGUCUCUUUCUCUCCUCUCUCUCUCCCUCUCUCUCCUUCUCUCUCUCUUCCUCUCUCCCUCCCUCUUCCUCUCUCUCCUUCUUUCUUCCUCUCUCUCUUCUUGUCUCUCUCUCUCUCUCCUCUCUUCUUCUCUCUCUCCCUCUCCCCCCAACUCUCUCUCCCUACACACAUCUUAAGAGGGCUCAGCAGUGUAAGGUAAGUUUAGCGACCCUGAGGCUGUGUAGAGAUAAGCAAAGGGGGGCAAGGAGCUCCAGUUGUCCAGACUCCAGCCGUUUGAGUCUUUCCAGCCCAAGCACCGCCCCAGCUUCUUGACAGCCCCAGCCAUCACCAAAGGGCACACAGAUAAGCUGCCUCCACCAAGGCCUG